rnacentral:rRNA from 1 species
UGGGGAAUAUUGCACAAUGGGCGAAAGCCUGAUGCAGCAACGCCGCGUGAGUGAUGAGGGCCUUCGGGUUGUAAAGCUCUGUCUUUUGGGACGAUAAUGACGGUACCAAAGGAGGAAGCCACGGCUAACUACGUGCCAGCAGCCGCGGUAAUACGUAGGUGGCAAGCGUUGUCCGGAUUUACUGGGCGUAAAGGAUGCGUAGGCGGAUUUUUAAGUGAGAUGUGAAAACCCUAAGCUUAACUUGGGGACUGCAUUUCAUACUGGAAAUCUAGAGUGCGGGAGAGGAGAAUGGAAUUCCUAGUGUAGCGGUGAAAUGCGUAGAGAUUAGGAAGAACACCAGUGGCGAAGGCGAUUCUCUGGACCGUAACUGACGCUGAGGCAUGAAAGCGUGGGUAGCAAACAGGAUUAGAUACCCUGGUAGUCCACGCCGUAAACGAUGAGUACUAGGUGUAGGAGGUAUCGACCCCUUCUGUGCCGCAGUUAACACAAUAAGUACUCCGCCUGGGAAGUACGAUCGCAAGAUUAAAAACUUAAAUGAAUUGACGGGGUCAUAGCUGUUUCCU